rnacentral:rRNA from 1 species
AGCAGCCGCCACGGGAAUACGUAGGGUGCAAGCGUUAAUCGGAAUUACUGGGCGUAAAGCGUGCGCAGGCGGUUAUAUAAGACAGAUGUGAAAUCCCCGGGCUCAACCUGGGAACUGCAUUUGUGACUGUAUAGCUAGAGUACGGCAGAGGGGGAUGGAAUUCCGCGUGUAGCAGUGAAAUGCGUAGAUAUGCGGAGGAACACCGAUGGCGAAGGCAAUCCCCUGGGCCUGUACUGACGCUCAUGCACGAAAGCGUGGGGAGCAAACAGGAUUAGAUACCCGAGUAGUCCCUGUCUCUUAUAC